AUUGAACGCUGGCGGCAUGCCUAACACAUGCAAGUCGAGCGGAGGUAGGGGCAACUCUACUUCAGUGGCGGACGGGUGAGGAAUGCGUCGGAAUCUACCCUAUGGUGGGGGAUAACACAGGGAAACUUGUGCUAAUACCGCAUGAUGUCGAGAGACCAAAGCAGGGGACCGCAAGGCCUUGCGCGAUAGGAUGAGCCGACGCCCGAUUAGCUAGUUGGUAGGGUAAUGGCCUACCAAGGCGACGAUCGGUAGCUGGUCUGAGAGGAUGAUCAGCCACACUGGGACUGAGACACGGCCCAGACUCCUACGGGAGGCAGCAGUGGGGAAUAUUGGACAAUGGGCGAAAGCCUGAUCCAGCAAUGCCGCGUGUGUGAAGAAGGCCUGCGGGUUGUAAAGCACUUUUGUUCGGGAAGAAAACGGGCUGGCUAAUACCUGGUUCGGAUGACGGUACCGAAAGAAUAAGCACCGGCUAACUUCGUGCCAGCCGCCGCCGUAACAC
rnacentral:rRNA from 1 species